GUGCUUGCUUCAGCAGCACAUGUACUAAAAUUGGAAUGAUACGGAGAUUAGCAUGACCCCUGUGCAAGAAUAACACACAAAAAUAUGAAGAAAUUUAGAAUAUA
ensembl:snRNA U6 U6 spliceosomal RNA